UAGGAAUGUACCUUAAAGAGGGGGACAACCUGGGGAAACUCAGGCUAAUACCGCAUAAUCUCUGAGGAGAGAAGCUAGGGACCGCAAGGCCUGGCGCUUUAAGAACAGCCUGCGUCCGAUUAGCUAGUUGGUGGGGUAAGAGCCUACCAAGGCGACGAUCGGUAGCUGGUCUGAGAGGAUGAUCAGCCACACUGGAACUGAGACACGGUCCAGACUCCUACGGGAGCAG
rnacentral:rRNA from 1 species